GAUGAAGAACGCAGCGAAAUGCGAUAAGUAAUGUGAAUUGCAGAAUUCAGUGAAUCAUCGAAUCUUUGAACGCACAUUGCGCCCCUUGGUAUUCCGAGGGGCAUGCCUGUUCGAGCGUCAUUUCACCACUCAAGCCUCGCUUGGUAUUGGGCGCCGCGGUGUUCCGCGCGCCUCAAAGUCUCCGGCUGAGCUGUCCGUCUCUAAGCGUUGUGAUUUCAUUAAUCGCUUCGGAGCGCGGGCGGUCGCGGCCGUUAAAUCUUUCACAAGGUUGACCUCGGAUCAGGUAGGGAUACCCGCUGAACUUAAGCAUAUCAAUAAGCGGAGGA
rnacentral:misc_RNA from 1 species